GGGAACAAGGCUGUCAGAACAAGGGCAUGUCACAACACAUGCAAAGCACAGAAGGCUGGAGUGCAACUGACAAGAGGGCUCUGGUGCUCAGAGGCUCCAGGUUGGCCUCACUGAGAACAUUUUCUUUCUUUCACCUGCAAAAGUAUCCACAGUGUUUAAGUGGUGCUCCCAUCAAGGUUGGAAAUGGA
rnacentral:lncRNA from 1 species